rnacentral:lncRNA from 1 species
CCCUCCCCUCCUGAAGCCGCUGCAGUGCCCUGGGCCCCCUGCCAGCACCCCACGGCUGUCCCUGGGCAUCCAAAGGGCUUUUAAAACCUCCACUUCCUGAAGGAACCCUGUGUGGAUUCAGGAGGCAGAACCCGCCUGCAGGACUAGCACGCUGGGCUGGUAUCGACAGCAGCCCCACCUCUGACGCAGCACUUCCCAGCUCCCCCAAAAACCCCCAUGCCCAGAGGGGGACCCAGGGCACCGAGAGGGCAUGGCUCCACGCCAGCAUCCCAGCCAACCAGAGAGCCUGGCUGCCGCUGCCGGGGAGCUGGGGGUGGCCCAGGAGCAAGCGUGCCUCCCACUCCCUCUGCCUGCGUUUUCUAGAUGUUGCCAACAGAACUUCCCGAGGUAUGUGAAAGCCGUGUGAGGCUGCACCAGCACAUGAGGCUGGGCUGCAGGGGGCUCCUGGGGACCUCCUGGACGUGCCUGGGGGAAUGUGGGGCAGAGACUCAGCUGAAGACUCUGGACUGGCCUUUGGGAUGGGUCCUGCCAUUCAGCGGCUGUCAAGGGCCAGGAAAGAAGGCUGGGACCUUCCCCCAAAACACACUAAGAUCAGAGCCUGGAGUGGGGCCAGUGAGGUCAGCAGCCAAGAAGGCGAGGCCUCCACGGUCCCCAGGACCCUGGGGUUGGCAACGGCCUCAGACCUGCUGGAGCUGCCUCUCUACAAAGGGAUGAGGAGCAGGGCUGGGCAGGCUUGGCUCAGAGCACCCACAGGGGAAGUCCCACAGGCCCUGCCCAGUCCCCAGUAAGGGGACAACUCCGGGCAAAGCGAUGUCCAGGGCCUGCCUCCCGGGGAUGGCUGGGUGGCCCAGCCAGGGGCUUCCUUCCUUUCUCAAGACAGCACGCAGCCCUUCCUGCAGCCAAGAGCAGCUGGCAUCAGGUAGGCUGUGAUCCAGGGCCCCAAGCUCCAGGCCUGUAGGUGCUUGGGGCUGUCCACAUCCGCCUCUUGGCCAGCCAGAGACAGAGACCCCCUGCACUGGGGUGGGGGAGUCCACAGAGACACCCUGGCUGCCCACACACCCCUCCUCUGUGUCUCAAGAAGGCCCCAUGAGGCCCUGGCUAAAUGCAGCCUCUGGGAGGAGAGGACAGAGGGCAAAGCCAGGUCAAAGGGCAGCUGCAGGGGUCCCCUGUCCUCCCCAAGGGCUG